CGCGUAGGCGGAUUUGCAAGUCCGGGGUGAAAUCCCACAGCUCAACUGUGGAACUGCCUCGGAUACUGUGAGUCUCGAGGGUGGCAGGGGUAUGCGGAACUAUCGGUGGAGCGGUGAAAUGCGUUGAUAUCGAUAGGAACUCCGGUGGCGAAGGCGGCAUACUGGUCCACUUCUGACGCUGAGGCGCGAAAGCCAGGGGAGCAAACGGGAUUAGAUACCCCGGUAGUCCUGGCCCUAAACGAUGGGAACUAGCUAGUAGGCUUCACAUGGGUUUACUGGCGAAGCAAAAGUGCUAAGUUCCCCGCCUGGGGAGUAUGGUCGCAAGGCUGAA
rnacentral:rRNA from 1 species